ACUGUGCCAAAUGACAUACGGAGACAGCUCGAAGGCACAAUGUUGAAGAAACCGACGCGGGAACCGGGAUACCUGAGCUGCCUAAUAUAACAUGUCGUGCGUCUCCGAUGACUGUAUCUAAAUGUUUGCAAUCCUUUAAUUAAACAUUGCAGGUCCCUGACAUCGUGCGAGUAGGUAUUCUCGGCUAUCCGUGUGUCUGCUUGGACUUUCGUGUGGAUGAAGCAGCGAGUAAUCCACAGUGAGGAGUCACAGUGCACUGCACUCUGCCGCACUCUUAUGUGUGUCAACAGAGUUUGCGUUCUGUGCAAGACUCUAUCUAUCGGUGUUUUAUCGACAACUCAACCGGAAAAGUGCUUGUUGUGUGCGCACGUGUUUCCUUUCCCUGCUCAUACGCCCGCAUUCCGGCUCCAAGCGUUGCAACGCAGGAGUGUUGGAUGACCGCGGUAAAGUAGUUUAAAUAUGCCUACUGCAUUCGUUUUGUAUGUGGCUGUAUUUCUUGGAAUCCCAUGCAUAGAUAUCGUGACACUGGAAAAUAAAGUGAAUUCUGUUUUUAUAUCGUGCAUAUCUUUGUCA